rnacentral:lncRNA from 1 species
UCGUUAAGUAAUAAAAUUUAUAAGAUUCGUAUCCACAGGGAUUGUUCUUAUUUUCAACUAGACAAUUAAAUUAAAUUAGGAUUAAUAAAUAAAUUGCAAAGGGUGGGUUUUCAGAUUGAUUUGUAGUAACAAUGACAAUAAUUAAAAUUGCAAGAAAGUUGAAACGUGUGCUUUUAUGAGAGAAAGACGAUUAGAAAUUAUUUUGAAUCAUCUCUUUGUCCCUAUCUGGUACUCUAGGUUCUAGCCCUCAACAAUAAAAUUCUUAUAAUUACGAUAAUUUAGCAAAAUAGACCGAGUCCAAUUC